AUUGAACGCUGGCGGCAGGCUUAACACAUGCAAGUCGAGCGGGGUGAUGGUGCUUGCACUAUCACUUAGCGGCGGACGGGUGAGUAAUGCUUAGGAAUCUGCCUAUUAGUGGGGGACAACAUCUCGAAAGGGAUGCUAAUACCGCAUACGUCCUACGGGAGAAAGCAGGGGAUCACUUGUGACCUUGCGCUAAUAGAUGAGCCUAAGUCGGAUUAGCUAGUUGGUGGGGUAAAGGCCUACCAAGGCGACGAUCUGUAGCGGGUCUGAGAGGAUGAUCCGCCACACUGGGACUGAGACACGGCCCAGACUCCUACGGGAGGCAGCAGUGGGGAAUAUUGAACAAUGGGGGGAACCCUGAUCCAGCCAUGCCGCGUGUGUGAAGAAGGCCUUAUGGUUGUAAAGCACUUUAAGCGAGGAGGAGGCUCUUUUGGUUAAUACCCAAGAUGAGUGAACGUUACUCGCAGAAUAAGCACCGGCUAACUCUGUGCCAGCAGCCGCGGUAA
rnacentral:rRNA from 1 species